GGUUCUAUAGUGUAGCGGUUAGCACCUUGGUUUUUGAGGAUUAAAUACCAAUGACCCCGGUUCGAAUCCGGGUAGGACCU
rfam:Ceraceosorus bombacis genome assembly, contig: Scaffold_292